UACGUAGGGCGCAAGCGUUAUCCGGAAUUAUUGGGCGUAAAGAGCUCGUAGGCGGUUUGUCGCGUCUGCCGUGAAAGUCCGGGGCUCAACUCCGGAUCUGCGGUGGGUACGGGCAGACUAGAGUGAUGUAGGGGAGACUGGAAUUCCUGGUGUAGCGGUGAAAUGCGCAGAUAUCAGGAGGAACACCGAUGGCGAAGGCAGGUCUCUGGGCCACUACUGACGCUGAGGUGCGAAAGCGUGGGGAGCAAACAGG
rnacentral:rRNA from 1 species